ACGGGAAUAGCUCAGUUGGUAGAGCAUCGGUCUCCAAAACCGAGUGUCGGGAGUUCGAGUCUCUCUUCCCGUGCUA
rnacentral:tRNA from 6 species